AGUGAACGCUGGCGGUAGGCCUAACACAUGCAAGUCGAACGGCAGCACAGUAAGAGCUUGCUCUUACGGGUGGCGAGUGGCGGACGGGUGAGGAAUACAUCGGACUCUACUUUUUCGUGGGGGAUAACGUAGGGAAACUUACUCUGAUACCGCAUACGACCUACGGGUGAAAGCAGGGGAUCUUCGGACCUUGCGCGAUUGAAUGAGCCGAUGUCGGAUUAGCUAGUUGGCGGGGUAAAGGCCCACCAAGGCGACGAUCCGUAGCUGGUCUGAGAGGAUGAUCAGCCACACUGGAACUGAGACACGGUCCAGACUCCUACGGGAGGCAGCAGUGGGGAAUAUUGGACAAUGGGCGCAAGCCUGAUCCAGCCAUACCGCGUGGGUGAAGAAGGCCUUCGGGUUGUAAAGCCCUUUUGUUGGGAAAGAAAAGCAGCAGGUUAAUACCCCGCUGUUCUGACGGUACCCAAAGAAUAAGCACCGGCUAACUUCGUG
rnacentral:rRNA from 1 species